rnacentral:rRNA from 1 species
GGCCUCCAAUCAGACAAGAGGACCCGCUGAAUUUAAGCAUAUUAAUAAGCGGAGGAAAAGAAACUAACCAGGAUUCCCUCAGUAACGGCGAGUGAAGCGGGAAGAGCUCAGACUGAAAAUCCUUGAGUGGAGUUGUAGUCUGGAGAAGUCCAGUCAGCGCGGGCGGCAGGCCAAGUCCCUUGGAACAGGGCGCCUGAGAGGGUGACAGCCCCGUCUCUGCCGGCCGCCUUUCAAGCAGAGCGCGUACGGCGGGCUUUCGACGAGUCGAGUUGCUUGGGAUUGCAGCUCAAAGCGGGUGGUAAAUUCCAUCUAAAGCUAAAUAUCGGUGGGAGACCGAUAGCGAACAAGUACCGUGAGGGAAAGAUGAAAAGCACUUUGAAAAGAGAGUGAAAGAGUACCUGAAAUUGCUGAAAUGGAAGCGUAGUGAAGCAGUGUUGGGCCGCACCCAGAUCGUCGUCCGCUUGCGGGCGGCGGGACGUGGUGUGGCCAAUCAGGGUGGGUUUGUGCNCGGAAA